CCUACGGGUGGCUGUAGUGGGGAAUUUUGGACAAUGGGGGCAACCCUGAUCCAGCCAUGCCGCGUGAGUGAAGAAGGCCUUCGGGUUGUAAAGCUCUUUCGGCCGGGAAGAAAUCGCUCAAGCUAAUACCUUGGGUGGAUGACGGUACCGGAAGAAGAAGCACCGGCUAACUACGUGCCAGCAGCCGCGGUAAUACGUAGGGUGCGUGCGUGAAUCGGAGUUACUGGGCGUGGAGCGAGAGCAGGGAUCGGAAAUCCCCGGGCUUAACCUGGGAACUGCGUUUGUGACUGUGGUGCUCGAGUGCGGCAGAGGGGGGUGGAAUUCCACGUGUAGCAGUGAAAUGCGUAGAGAUGUGGAGGAACACCGAUGGCGAAGGCAGCCCCCUGGGUCGACACUGACGCUCAUGCACGAAAGCGUGGGGAGCAAACAGGAUUAGAUACCCUUGUAGUC
rnacentral:rRNA from 1 species